rnacentral:rRNA from 1 species
AUUGAACGCUGGCGGCAUGCUUUACACAUGCAAGUCGAACGGCAGCGCGGGGGCAACCCUGGCGGCGAGUGGCGAACGGGUGAGUAAUGCAUCGGAACGUAUCCUGUAAUGGGGGGAUAACGUAGCGAAAGUUACGCUAAUACCGCAUACGCUCGAGAGAGGAAAUGGGGGAUCGCAAGACCUCACGUUAUAGGAGCGGCCGAUGUCCGAUUAGCUAGUUGGUGGGGUAAAGGCCUACCAAGGCGACGAUCGGUAGCUGGUCUGAGAGGAUGAUCAGCCACACUGGGACUGAGACACGGCCCAGACUCCUACGGGAGGCAGCAGUGGGGAAUUUUGGGACAAUGGGCGAAAGCCUGAUCCAGCCAUGCCGCGUG